rfam:Sorghum bicolor cultivar BTx623 chromosome 3, whole genome shotgun sequence.
AUUACAUGAUGGGGACAUUCUAGGAUGUAGUCUUGGAAGCUCUCCCAUGCUUCUAGAACAGAUUCAUCAUGUUGUUGCUGAGAACUUUUAAUUUUCCCACGGAGAGC